rnacentral:rRNA from 1 species
UACGAAGGGGGCUAGCGUUGCUCGGAAUCACUGGGCGUAAAGGCGCGUAGGCGGCCAUUCAAGUCGGAGGUGAAAGCCCAGGGCUCAACCCUGGAAUUGCCUUCGAUACUGUCUGGCUAGAGACCGGAAGAGGUAAGUGGAACUGCGAGUGUAGAGGUGAAAUUCGUAGAUAUUCGCAAGAACACCAGUGGCGAAGGCGGCUUACUGGUCCGGUUCUGACGCUGAGGCGCGAAAGCGUGGGGAGCAAACAGG